UGCAUCUGAGUUUUUUUUAUGCCCCCCUUCGAAGAAGAGGGGGUAUAUUGCUUUGCUCAUGUCGGUCGGUCUGUCGGUCCGUCCACCAGGUGGUUGUCAGACGAUAACUCAAGAACGCUUGGGCCUAGGAUCAUGAAACUUCAUAGGUACAUUGAUCAUGACUCGCAGAUGACCCCUAUUGAUUUUGAGGUCACUAGGUCAAAGGUCACGGUGACCCGAAAGAGUAAAAUGGUUUUUGAAUGAUAACUCAAGAAUGCAUAUGCCUAGGAUCAUGAAACUUCAUGGGUAGAUUGAUCAUGACUUGCAGACGACCCCUAUUGAUUUUGAGGUCACUAGGUCAAGGUCACCCGAAAUACUAAAAUGGUUUUUGGAUGAUAACUCAAGAACGCAUAUGCCUAGGAUCAUGAAACUUCACAGGUAGAUUGAUCAUGACUCCCAGAUGACCCCUAUUGAUUUUGAGGUCACAAGGUCAAGGUCACGGUGACCCGAAAUAGUAAAAUGAUUUUCGAAUGAUAACUCAAGAACGCUUUUGUCAGGAUCAUGACACUUCAUAGGUACAUUGAUCGCGACUCGCAGAUGACCCCUAUUGAUUUUUAGGUAACUAGGUCAAAGGUCAAGGUAACAGUGACAAAAAACGUAUUCACACAAUGGCUGCCACUACAACGGACAGCCCAUAUGGGGGGCAUGCAUGUUUUACAAACAGCCCUUGUUAUAUCUAUACUUGCUUGUCUGCCAAUCAUUAUUACGUUCAAGUAAUCCACUGUUAUUCCUCUAUGACUUUUACUCAGACAAGCGAUGCAUUGUUUAUUGGUAUGUUGUCCGCUAAGAUAAAUAUCUCCGUCCCAACCACUUUUCAAUGUUUUUUCUUAGGUAUGUUUUAGGUGACUUUCCUGUAUAAAAAAGACUUAUAUAACCUUUUUUUGUCCAACCAUUUGAAACUUUUUGUGCAGUUAUCUUUGUUUUUUAGCCCUUGUACAUUUACAGUACAUAUGUUAAUACUCACACAAAAGAACGAAAAUUGCAUGAUACCAUUCUUGUUCCAAACAUUUUAAAAUCAUUUUGUAGAGCUAGAUUAUUAGUUAGUUCAUUAUGUCAAGUUAUAUUAAGCUUUGAUGCUAAAAACAAUUAUCUUCCAUGUUCUACAGGUUGUUGAAACAUUGUGUUCAUUAAAUUGAUCUCAGCA